UGGGGAAUAUUGCACAAUGGGCGCAAGCCUGAUGCAGCCAUGCCGCGUGUAUGAAGAAGGCCUUCGGGUUGUAAAGUACUUUCAGCGGGGAGGAAGGCGAUAAGGUUAAUAACCUUGUCGAUUGACGUUACCCGCAGAAGAAGCACCGGCUAACUCCGUGCCAGCAGCCGCGGUAAUACGGAGGGUGCAAGCGUUAACCGGAAUUACUGGGCGUAAAGCGCACGCAGGCGGUCUGUCAAGUCGGAUGUGAAAUCCCCGGGCUCAACCUGGGAACUGCAUUCGAAACUGGCAGGCUAGAGUCUUGUAGAGGGGGGUAGAAUUCCAGGUGUAGCGGUGAAAUGCGUGGAGAUCUGGAGGAAUACCGGUGGCGAAGGCGGCCCCCUGGACAAAGGCUGACGCUCAGGUGCGAAAGCGUGGGGAGCAAACA
rnacentral:rRNA from 1 species